rnacentral:rRNA from 1 species
GCAUAUCAAUAAGCGGAGGAAAAGAAACUAACAAGGGAUUUCCCCUAGUAACUGCGAGUGAAGCGGGAUGAGCUCAAAUUUAAAAUCUGGCGUCUUCGGCGUCCGAGUUGUAAUUUAGAGAAGCGUUUUCCGCGCCGGACCGUGUACAAGUCUCCUGGAACGGAGCGUCAUAGAGGGUGAGAAUCCCGUCUUUGACACGGACCCCCGGUGCUCUGUGAUACGCUCUCGAAGAGUCGAGUUGUUUGGGAAUGCAGCUCAAAAUGGGUGGUGAACUCCAUCUAAAGCUAAAUAUUGGCGAGAGACCGAUAGCGAACAAGUACCGUGAGGGAAAGAUGAAAAGCACUUUGGAAAGAGAGUGAAACAGUACGUGAAAUUGUUGAAAGGGAAACGCUUGAAGUCAGUCGCGUCCGCCAGGAUUCAGCCUCACGGUGUACUUUCUGGUGGACGGGCCAGCAUCACUUUCAAUCAUCGGACAAGGUCGAGAGGAAUGUGGCACCUUCGGGUGUGUUAUAGCCUCUUGUCGUAUACGGUGACUGGGAGUGAGGACCGCCUUUGUAGGAUGCUGGCGUAAUGGCUUUAAACGACCCGUCUUGAAACACGGACCAAGGAGUCUAACAUGCCCGCGAGUGUUUGGGUGGAAAACCCAUGCGCGUAAUGAAAGUGAAAGUUGGGAAGGCUGUCGCGGCCUGCACCGACGCCCGGACUCGAGAUUUAUCUAAGGUUCUGCGGUAGAGCGUGUAUGUUGGGACCCGAAAGAUGGUGAACUAUGCCUGAAUAGGGUGAAGCCAGAGGAAACUCUGGUGGAGGCUCGUAGCGAUUCUGACGUGCAAAUCGAUCGUCAAAUUUGGGUAUAGGGGCGAAAGACUAAUCG